GAGCACGUAGGUGGGUUUGUAAGUCAGAUGUGAAAGCCUUCUGUUCAACGGGAGAAUUGCAUCUGAAACUGCUAAUCUUGAGUAUAGGAGGGGAGAAUGGAACUUCUGGUGGAGCGGUGAAAUGCGUAGAUAUCAGAAGGAACGCCGGCGGCGAAAGCGAUUCUCUGGCCUAUUACUGACACUGAGGUGCGAAAGCUAGGGGAGCAAACGGGAUUAGAUACCCCGGUAGUCCUAGCCGUAAACGAUGGGCACUAAGUAGAGGGGUUUU
rnacentral:rRNA from 1 species